GACGAACGCUGGCGGCGUGCUUAACACAUGCAAGUCGAACGAAGUGGCGCACGGGUGAGUAACGCGUCAUCAACCUGCCCUUCAGAGGGGGACAACAGUUGGACACGACUGCUAAUACCGCAUACUGUAGGAGGGGAUUGCGUCUGCUUUGCUAGUUGGAGGGGUAACGGCCCACCAAGGCGAUGAUCAGUAGCCGGUCUGAGAGGAUGAACGGCAACAUUGGGACGGAGAAACGGCCCAGACUCCUACGGGAGGCAGCAGUGGGGAAUCUUCCGCAAUGGAAGAAAGUCUGACGGAGCAACGCCGCGUGAGUGAUGACGGCCUUCGGGUUGUAAAGCUCUGUUAAUCGGGACGCGGUACCGGAAUAGAAAGCCACGGCUAACUACGUGCCAGCAGCCGCGGUAAUAC
rnacentral:rRNA from 1 species